rnacentral:rRNA from 1 species
AACGAACGCUGGCGGCACGCCUAACACAUGCAAGUCGAACGAUGUCUUUCGGGGCAUAAUGGCGCACGGGUGCGUAACGCGUGGGAAUCUGCCCUUGGGUUCGGAAUAACCGUUGGAAACGACGGCUAAUACCGGAUGAAGUCGAUAAGACCAAAGAUUUAUCGCCUGAGGAUGAGCCCGCGUAGGAUUAGCUAGUUGGUGUGGUAAGAGCGCACCAAGGCGACGAUCCUUAGCUGGUCUGAGAGGAUGAUCAGCCACACUGGGACUGAGACACGGCCCAGACUCCUACGGGAGGCAGCAGUGGGGAAUAUUGGACAAUGGGCGCAAGCCUGAUCCAGCAAUGCCGCGUGAGUGAUGAAGGCCUUAGGGUUGUAAAGCUCUUUUACCCGGGAUGAUAAUGACAGUACCGGGAGAAUAAGCUCCGGCUAACUCCGUGCCAGCCGCCGCGGUAA